rfam:Salmo salar isolate Sally breed double haploid chromosome ssa03, whole genome shotgun sequence.
UCCCGUGUGGCUCAGUUGGUAGAGCAUGUUGUUUGCAACGCCAGGGUUGUGGGUUCGAUUCCCACGAGGGAC